GUCCUAGCUUUGGAAGUGCAUAUACUGGAAUUGGCAUGAUACAGAGAAGAUUAACAUGGCCCCUGCUCAAGGAUUACACACAAAUUCAUGAAGUGUACCAUAUUUUU
rnacentral:snRNA from 1 species